rnacentral:rRNA from 1 species
GAUGGACGCUGGCGGCGUGCUUAACACAUGCAAGUCGAACGGUGAAGGCGGAGCUUGCUCUGCUGGAUCAGUGGCGAACGGGUGAGUAACACGUGAGCAAUCUGCCCCUGACUCUGGGAUAAGCGCUGGAAACGGCGUCUAAUACUGGAUACGAGCUGCGAAGGCAUCUUCAGCAGCUGGAAAGAACUUCGGUCAGGGAUGAGCUCGCGGCCUAUCAGCUUGUUGGUGAGGUAACGGCUCACCAAGGCGUCGACGGGUAGCCGGUCUGAGAGGGUGACCGGCCACACUGGGACUGAGACACGGCCCAGACUCCUACGGGAGGCAGCAGUGGGGAAUAUUGCACAAUGGGCGAAAGCCUGAUGCAGCAACGCCGCGUGAGGGACGACGGCCUUCGGGUUGUAAACCUCUUUUAGCAGGGAAGAAGCGAAAGUGACGGUACCUGCAGAAAAAGCGCCGGCUAACUACGUG